rnacentral:rRNA from 1 species
GUCUACAGCCAUGCUACCCUGAACAAGCCUGAUCUCGUCUGAUCUCGGAAGCUAAGUAGGGUUGGGCCUGGUUAGUACUUGGAUGGGAGAAGACCUAGGAAGACCAGGUGCUGUAGGCA